UCGUUGGAUUGUAUGCUUUGGCUGGGUGUUCUAGAUGUUUUCUUCUGUCCGUGCUCUUUUCCUUCACAGAUCCAUAAUUUUUCUGCUCUCCAUCUUGGUCUCUCCUGCUAUCAAAUCUUCCUACUUUUCUUCUCGCAAAAACUGAUCGAAGCAAACCCAAUUCUACGUUUUUUCAUUUUGGAAUUUUGUUUGCACCCACCAUCUGAGGAGUGGCUGAUUUUUUCAAACUUUUUGAAAGCUAGGUUUGUCAGCGUUUAGUGCAAACCUAUAAAUUGUGUUCUGAUUGUUUUAUCGAUCUUACGAUUCCUGCCGCAAAUCGUUUACAAUUGGAUUCAAUUUUAGUUUCCGACUGCGGAAUUAGAAUCUGACUGGAAGAGUUUUGUGUGUUUACCUUUCUCAAGGGUCAAGACUCGCAGCCACCAGUUCUACAACCAACUGCAACCACUGGGGUUGUAAUUUCGGCCACAAUCAAUGGCACUGCUGCUUUCGAGUCUAGCAAUCCUGGCUUGGUGCGGUCGGAACCAACCUCGAAUGCCAACCAAGAUUUCGCCCAAGACGUAGUUAAGAGUCAUGAGUUUGUAGAAGGUGAGGUGAUGUGCUCUCUUGAAGAACUCCAUCAACUUUUAGAUCGAGCAUCUGCACCCAAUACACUGGCCAACUCCUCUAUUUUGAAUCCUACCGUAGACUUGCAAGCCAUAGCGACAACUAGAGCUACUUUAGAAAUGGACUUUAUUACUAUGGCUUGCGAGGUUUAACGAACUUGCAUGAUUUCAAGCAUCCAGAGCUUGGUAGAUUCUAAUUGCUUUUCCGCCGGCACCAGACCAAUGAUUAUGGGUUUGUUGACGCAGCCAGAGCAAUAUCUUCCAGCCUACUCCAAAGCCUAUUCUGAGUAUGAUAGGGGCAAAAACUUGACUGACCAAGUCCAAGCUACAAAACAGCUUCUUCAACCUAAGGUUCAGUUUUGUGAUAGCAAGGAGAGAGAAUUUCAAGAGCUUGUGAAAGGGAAAAUGAAGAUUGAAGGCAAGCAGGCUGCGAUACUUGCUGAAAUUCAUGGCAUACAUGCUGAAAUUUGUGGCACCAUCAAAGCGAUACUGGAACAAGUUGAGAAAUUCCUCCUACAGUAAGAUGAAUUUAAAGAAAAUGUGGGUAAUCUCAAGACCACGUUGGAUACUAGAGAUGUCUUCUGGACAACCUUUAAGAAGAUAAUUCACCAGCACUGACCUGCAACUUCUACACUUCUCCAUUACAUUAGUGAUUGUAUACAAGCUUCUAACAAGGACAUGCACAGAACAUUUUGGGGAGAGAUCAAAGGUGCCUUCCGAAAGAGCUGUAUAUAGCAAUUCCCAUUACUUCUACUUGUGAAACCGAGUAAUGGCUGAAUUUUGUGUGACUGGUAUUCUACGACUUCUUUGACAACAAAGCAACCUCUGUUUCCUGCUGUUUCUUCCGGUACCUCUGAGCGGUUGCAUUAACAAUCUUGACAAGGAAGUCCAACAACAUGAGCCAUACCAAAUUGUUCCAAACUGCCAAGGAUUCUGAAUUAGACAAACUGAAAUAAAACCGCCCCUGAGAUCAAUAUCGACAACAUAUAAAUUAAAUGCCAAUGUAGAAGGAUGCAUUUUAAUCAGCAGAGUUACCUUGAUAUUUGACGAA